CUUGCCUGAAAGCACUUACCGACUGCAUCGCUGACGGCUGAGAGCUGCCCAUUCUUCUUCGUACACACAUACUUUCCAUUACUUGCUUUGAGAGCGACCCUCUGUCCUCGCCACUCGAUGUCAAACAUUGUGUUGACCUCUCUAGGAAGAAAGACAUGAAUGAGCUGAGAACUAAAAGGUCUCCAUGUCUGUCUCCACAUCCUGAUUUGCUGAAAUACUCACCCCUGGUAACACAGGAAGAAAAGACAGCCUUGGUAAUUGUGCCUUCAUUCAGUAGAAAUUAUAGAUUACAAUGUUGCAUCCUCUUGAAUGCCAUCUGCCUCCCUCUGAAUGUCAUUUACUCUCUCAGGCAUUGCCAAGGAGACUUGUAUGCGUAGUAGUAAUCCAGCAUUUAAUUACAUCCAUGCCUUGUGUUUACAUCACAUAAUACAUUGUGCUGCCUACAAUGACUCAACCAAGGCGCCAAAGAGAGACAAGAAUAGAAGUAUGCGUUGGUUUUUUUUUUCACAGAUUGUGUCACACUGACGAGUUCUUUGACACACCAGAACAGCUGUCACGAAGCACAGACUGUUCGUUUUUAGAGCCCUUGCCACAAGUUGAAUGAUCAGUGAUUAAAUUGAAGCUCUUGUGUUGAAACAGACAUUAAAAAGUACUUCACAAGUCGGGACAAGAUUUAAAAAAUAUUAACGCUGUAAAAUCAUCACUAAUAAAUUAUUUUAAUUGAC